GGGAAAAAAUCCGAGAGAGGGAGUUAACAUGGCCGUGGCUACACCAGCAUUCUAUUACUCUGCUCGUAUCUUCAAUAUUUGCCUGCUACUUUGAAGAAGAAAGUAAGGAACAUAAGAUGUCUUGAUGCCAACUGCGUGUCAUUGAAAAGAUAGUAAAAAGAUGUUUAAGCAGGAAAAACUUAAAGUUGGAGGACGAUACAUUUGUUUCUUGUUACUAGUUUUAUCAAACAAAUGAUUGUUUCCACAAUCUUCAGCUUCCCAGGCAGACAACCAUUCACAAAGCUAUGGAGUUGGAGACCAAUGUGUGGAAUGUGAUAUUCUAGUGUUUGGAACCCCAACUGCCUGUCUGCUUCAACAAGGGUAUAAAGCAAUUAUAAUUUCAGGAGGUCCUAACUCAGUGUAUAAGGUUGAUGUCCCACUACAACCCUGCAAUGUUCUAGUGCUGGGAAUUUGUUAUGGCAAGCAAAUACUCAACAAAGAAUUAGGUGGAACGACGGAGAGAAAAGAUGUUUGCGAUGGGCAAUUCGAGAUCCAAGUAGAAACGGAGUGCCUAUUGUUUAAAGGCUUAGAGACUCGGCAAAUAGUAUUACUCACCCAUGGUGACAGUGUAGACAAGGUUGCAGAAGGGUUGCGUUGCGUCGCAAAAUCUUCGCAUCAUAUUAUUUCCGCUAUUGCUGAUAUUACUGAGACCAGUUCCAUGAUUUGACUGAAAACGUAACAGGACGAAAAAUGUUGCACAACUUCUUAUUCGGUAUCUGUGGAUUGCAAGAAGGUUUCACAUUGGAGAAACGUGAGCAGCAGUUUAACGAUUACAUCCGGCACACGGUCGGGCGUGAUAAGAUCGUGCUUAUGCUGGUAAGCGGCGUGGUCGAUUCUGCCGUUUGUGCUGCCCUUAUCCAUAAAGCACUUCUCCAGGGUGACGACUCGUCGCGAGUGCAGGCCAUCCAUAUCGAUAACGGUUUCCUGCGAAAGACGAAUCCGAGCAGGUCGUCACUAGUUUACAGCAACUCGGGUUCAAUCUUCGGGAAAUUUGAGAUACUUUUCUGGACUGUUUAGGAUCUUAUGAUUGGCCAAAAUCUCCAAAAUACGUCAUCCUGUCAUCUCAAAUUCUACGGUUUAUAAUACUUGUUCUAUGACCGAGUUCUUUUACAGACAGUUGUCGAAGCAAGUUUGUCUUUCCACGAUGCCUCCACCAACGUGCAUGGUCGCCAAACUUUGUUGUUGUGAUGGACAGUAAAGACUCAUCAUAACGAUUCCGAAAUUUUUCGUCAGUUGCGCCUUCACAGCCGUGUAGUACAACCUCUAGAAGACUUCCAUAAAGAUGAAGUAAGAGCCUUAUGUCGCGAGAUGGAUCCGCCCACAAAAUUACUGGAACGUCACCCGUUUCCUGGUCCCGGUUUGUCAAUUCGAAUCAUUUACGCCGAAGAACCGUUCUUGGAAGCUGAUUUCGAUGAGACGCAAGUGCUGAUUCGUUUGAUGGUCCAUUAUAUGUAAACAUAGCAGCCAAGGAACAUGUCUUGCUCAAUCGGAUUGAAAUAGCGACGUCGGAAGAAGAGCGUCUUAUCUGGAAAAAACUUUCCAGUCACAACCAGUAUGUUGCCACGCUACUGCGUAUUCGCACUGCCGUUGUUCAGGUACAGGAGGUUGCAGAAAAAUGUCUCGGGUAUGGCUAACAAAGCAUAGGGGAAACCCCCACAUUUUUCUGCAACAAUGCUUUUUAGCAUGCAGGAAGAAUAGCGGAGACGACUAUGCUAAAACGAAAUCAAAGUGGUUUUAUCACAACCACUUGAACACAGAGAAAAGUUGGGCUUAUUUUUGAAACCUGACUGGAAAACAUUUCUGCUAGAUAGCUAUGCAGAUUCUCUAUCCAAUUAGCGUUUGGAAUCUGUUAGAGUAUAGCGUCUUUGGUUUAAAUCCUUACAAAAUUGAAUGGCUACCUUGGUCGAAUGCUUUAUUUUGUUUACAUCGACUAUACUUCAAUGAUUUACAAAUGGGAAAAGGUUGCCUUUAAGCAACAAGAUGGUAUUGUGCGCGUCCAUGUACGAAUCAUGGGUUAAAGGGUGAGCAUCGGAUUGUGGCUCGGAAUGUAUGUGGAUAAAAUCCCAUCAGAGGUAAAAAGUACACAAUAUGUUUGCUGAUCCACUCUAUUGAGUAUUGACGUUAAUAGUUUACAAGAGUUUUAGUAAUUUACGUUGUGCUACUUUACAUUAUUAUUACAUGUGUGAACAAGUUACCUUUAAGCUCCUGGUAAAUGUUAAAAUUUAAUUGUAUGACUCAUGGCUCAAAGGUAGAGCAUCGGACUGGUACGCCGAAGGUUUAGGGUUCGAUUCCAAAAAGAAUUAAGGGAUAUUUCAAUGUAAAAAUAAAUUCCAUUGGGAGAAUAAAACGCUCGCAGAAAUUCAAUUUCUGUGGAAAUAAUUAUGAGUUACAAAAUCUCUAAAAGUAAAAUUAGAGUGCUUUAACCAAAGAUGUAUAAAGUCCUAUUCUUCAACGGUGCUAGCAGUCGCUUAACCUGGAGCAUUACAACUGGGAUGAAGUACGUACAAUUGAACAUCAUAGUAAAAGAUCAAUCCUAUUCAAUUUAUUCUUUGUUAGUAAAAAAACAAAUAAAAUAAUUUGCAAUAUACUUUGCUUCACCACA
rnacentral:lncRNA from 1 species